UAGUUUGGGUGUUGUGGUUUGUUUUUUCUUUUUUUUUAAUUCCAGAUGCUUUACUCCUGCUUAGAAUUUCUGAUUACUAGAUGACUUGUUGCUGUUCCUCUUUCCAUGUGACAUGCUGCGUUGGUGCUAUAGCCUUUGCAGUUUGUAACAGGCACUUAGUAGGUUAUAAUGAUCUGGAAUUCAGUUUGCCAGUCUACAGUGGGAAUUUGAGUCUGUGGGAUGGCAGAAGACAGAAGUGGACAGUAGAACACAGGGAAGGACAGCAACACAGAAGGGUCAGGGAGUUCAAAUAUAGGGCAAGUGCUGUUAGGAAGGAGGAGGUUCCCUUCUCUGAUGGUUCAGGAUUGGGGAAUAUUUUUAAUGGUUUGGGACUGAGGGAUGCUUAGGGGAAGGGAGAUGGAUUCAUCAAUUUUUCUUGGAUUGACUUUGCAGUCAGAUGUGAGUGCUAUUCAGGUUUGCCCUGUUCUAGUCUCUCUGCAGAUGGUGGGAUAUACAAUGAAGUUGAUACACAAUAUGUGGAUCAUCUGGACGUUUGUGCAGCAAUUGUCUGGUUUGAACAUCAGAUCAGUCUGAUCCUGAAAAGUAUCAGCUACACUAAAAAAAAAAAUGUAAUCUUCAGGGCUCUGAGAUCUCUACUCCCUUGUGCCUUCUACUUACUGUGUUCCCUAACUGACUUCUUGGCAUCCAUCUGAAUGUCAGAGACCUCACUACUUAAAGGUAUGGACUUAAUGCUUAUCUGCAGUGCAGGAUUCUGCCCCUACUUUCCUUUCCAUUUCUCAGGGAAGAGAAUGGAUAUUAUUUUGGCUUGUAACAGUACCUGAGCAACUCUUCUUCAGCUGGUCUGUGGGCACGCGAGCCUCCCUUAUUGGCAGAGUUUUGGCUUUUACCUUAACUUACCAGUGAGGUUUGCUAUAGUAUCGGUCACAGCAGUUACUACCCCCUCCUUGUUAUCCAUUGUGGUUUUUUUAGUCACUGAGUUUCCAAUUUAGGUCUUUCAGUAGUCAAACCCCCACCAUUUUGAGUUUUUCCAUUGGCUGACUGCUAAUUCCUUUGGGAAUUGGCCUCGAGUGCCUCUCUCCACUGUUAUGUUUGGCUUCUCGUCUGUGCUUCAUCCUUUGGGCUGUCUCCAUGGCUGCAUGGUGAGUGUCCUGUGUUUUUAUGCCUUCUGUGUCUAUCAUCUUUACUAGUUUUCAACUAGAAUACUUCUGCAAGUUUUUUUUCUUCAGUCCUGUGACUGAAGUUGGGUAACUUCCUAACAUCUGGAUUCCUAUGCCUCACCUUUCUUUUGUCCUGGGUAUCACCACUGUGGCCCUAUGAUGGGAGCGGUGGGGAGGAGAGGGAAGUAGAUCCCAUAGAAUUCUGUGGCACCAGUAAGCUAUUCAGGCUUAUUCUCAUCAUUGUGGGGCAAAUGAGGAGGAAGGAGCAUUAUACGGCAACUCUGUGAAGUAUUUACCUUUGGUUUUGAAGUACAGUGCAAGCCUCCUUAGGAACAGGAAGAGCAUUUGAGACAAGCUGGGUAGUAGGGAGAAGGAGCACAGGACAGACUUCUCGCAACAGUAAGUUUCUCUUGUUAUCUUAGUUGUCCUAGAUGACAACAGCUGCAGCAUCUGACAUUAGAAACAGUGCGGAGCAAGUGAGUGAACAACAUGGCAGUUAGGCAGAGCAAGUUGUUCUGUGAGACACUGACACAGACUAGUGCAAUGCUGACUGUCGGCACAGUUUUAGUUCUCCAUUUGGUUUUCUUGCAGAUGGGAAAGAGGAAUCUGUUGACUGUAGGAUCAUUCCACGUAGCUGAUGCUAUUGCAGUUUUUUCUGCUGAGAAUGACUCCUGGCCAGUUGAGACGCAGAGGGAUGACCUGUGCCCAAAGGCCACUGACAGUUGUGGAUAGAGUGGCAUAGGGCGGCGAGUUGGCUGUGGUGUAGUUUGGAAAAUGUGAGCCAUGGGGCACAAGUGAAAACUUUUGACACUAAUUUGUGGGAGAUUCUCUUCUCAUCUUUAUUUGGAUGGGUCACAGCCUAGGAUAAGGGAAUUGGAAGGACAGAGAAGGAAAAAUGAG